GGCUUCAACAUCCCCGUGGGCUGGGCGCAGAGUUAAGCUGACGACGCGCAGUGAGUCCGCUGGAGCC
rnacentral:sRNA from 1 species